UACGGGGGGGGGUAAGCGUUGUUCGGAAUUACUGGGCGUAAAGGGCUCGUAGGCGGCCAACUAAGUCGGACGUGAAAUCCCUCAGCUUAACUGGGGAACUGCGUCCGAUACUGGAUGGCUUGGAUUUGGGGAGAGGGAUGCGGAAUUCCAGGUGUAGCGGUGAAAUGCGUAGAUAUCUGGAGGAACACCGGUGGCGAAGGCGGGUCUCUGGGCCGAUACUGACGCUGAGGAGCGAAAGCGUGGGGAGCGAACAGG
rnacentral:rRNA from 1 species